UCAACAAGCAAAGAGGAAAUCAAUUUUGCUGAACUUUUAUGUGCUUAGAAAUGAAAAACAUGUAGCGAAAACUUAUUAAAAUACGUGUAAAGAUUAUUCGAGUAGAUUUAGAAUAGUGAAUUACUGAGUGUUAACCCGAUGGUGAUGAUAAAAGAAGAGAAAGAUGCACGAACUUCCUCCAGAAACAGCAAAGGCUGAGGAAACUGCUGUCACCACAAAUUGAUAUCUCUCCAAGGGGUUUUAAAAGAUAUGAUUCAAUCGACUGCUAAAGACGGACUCCACGAUAUGACCGAGAAAAUGAAAACUGAUAUUCAGUCCAUCAAAACAGAUCUGCAGCUGAUGAGAAAUAGUAUUCAAUUGGUGAAAAAAGAUUUUCAGCUGGUCAAGAACGAUAUUCAGGUAGUGAAAAGUGAUUUUCAGUUAGCCAAGAAUGAAAUAUUACUGGCGAAAAAUCGCGUCUCCGGACUUCGUAAUGAAUUGAAAGCGAACAAGAACGAAUUACCAACUUCCACAGACGAUGCGAGGUACAGACGUUCGGCAGCUUCAUCAAAAUCUGCAUCUACUUCAUUAUGGUCACCUACAGCAUCAACAUCAUCUAGUUUAUUCAAUUAUGGAAACAAUUUUCAGAAUGGUGUACCGUAAAGGCUAAAAUGCCUUUACUUGAUGCAUAUCUAAAAUUAUUUUCAUUCCUUUUAUUCGUAACUAGUAUUUUUUUCGUGUGAAUUUCAUUUUGUCUGGUAGAGACUUUUCUUUUUAGAAUUUGCUUUGCUAUUUUCUGCGUGUUUCUUGUUAGUUACCUACCUUUUAGCUGAUUUUCGUUUCCUAAAAGUAUGAAACAAAAUGUUACUAUUAUAGUUAUAAUACUCACUCUGAAUUUUAAAUUAUAUUUUUACUGUCGAAGCGACAGAUAUAUUUUCUGUUCUUUUUUGUUUAUGUGCGAAACGUAAAUAUACUUAUUUGUUCAUUGA